GAGACAACCCGGGCAGACAGGCGGUGUGGGUGUGCAGGGGGAGCUGAUCCCCAUCCUCCAACUGCCACGCUGCAACUGAAGGAGAAAAUGUCUCUGUGUCUAAGCUCAGGGUUGCAGUCUCUGGGGCAGCAAAGAGAACAUCUUUAGCCAAUAUACUGCAUUCCCUGAACAGCAACUAAUGCCAACAGAGGGGAAGUGAACACACCCAUGUCCCAUCCAGGAGCAGCAGGCGGUCGUGCAGGCCCAAGAGCCUGAAACUGAGACCCAAGAUGUGAGUGACCCAGAUUCAGACAUGACGUGCCAGAAGGCAGCCUUGAUUUGGAGCACUCUAUUCACAGGUACAGUGUGGGCUGCUCUAGGCAGAGGCUCACUUGCUCAUUGUCCUCCUCUGUUUUUCAUGAGAAAUUCCACCCUGGUUCUGAGAAAUGUACCCAAUAAAAUGGUGUUAAUAUGAA